CUUAAAAAGAUACGUUACCUAGUACAGGGGGUGCGACACUCUAAUCUUUUUCGAAUCUUUUCAAGUGAUUCAAAAAGAUUCGAAAAGAUUCAAGAUGAUUCGGUGAGAUUAAUAAAAAAACGCACCUGUCAAUUAUAUCAAAACAACUGACCUAUUUCGUUCAGUGUUUGUUUUGAGUUUGAAAGAAGACGAUCGCAACAUCAACAUCAGAAAAACGAAAACUAAAAAUGGUGCAAAACUGAAGUUGCAGCUCAAGCAUUUCCGCAGCCUCCUGGUCUACGAUCCGGUAAAUCGAAUGAUCCCGCAUUGCACCCAAGGAAGACCGUAAGAAACGUUUCCAUCGCCGAGGAGGUGGCCUUUCAACCGCUGCAAUAUGUUUACCCUCAUGCACUCACGACAUCCUCUGUCCAGGCACUUUUCCGCCUUCCGGUGUAAUUAUUCGGCCAUAGCGAAACCAUUGUAGUGCUUCUGGUGGAACUAUGCUUCUUGGAUACAUAGCAACGCGCGAAACAACCCACAAGGUCGCAACAUGACCAUGAAACCGUCGCACGGAUAUGUUCAACAAGAACACCAUCGACAACCCGAAGCAGUUGGAUCCGGCCACCACCGGUUCGAGUUCUCCAUCAAACGAUUACGACUGGCUACGGUAGCAAGAUGAUCGUUCGCUUCAUCGAACUGAUCCGUGUGGCCGACAUGGCUGUGACAUACAUGUCAUGUAUGUGACGGUGGUCCGAGCUUCCCGGGUGUACUGCACAGGGCUGCGUCAUGCCGAGCAGCUUAUGUCUCUUGUUCAAGCAAGAGUACUAAGUAGUCUUCUUCCAAGCAUCUGCUGACAAAGAAUUUCGACAAUGGGUUCCAGUAUUAUGGAAAUGAUUACAUAUGAAAAACCUCAUAUAAAACAAUUUUAAUUUGAAUGAAAUUCUCAAAAAUCUAGGCGUCAAUCUAGGAAAUAUAAGCUCAUGUUAA